GUGCGUAGCUAACGCGAUAAGUAUCCCGCCUGGGGAGUACGGCCGCAAGGCUGAAACUCAAAGGAAUUGACGGGGGCCCGCACAAGCGGUGGAACAUGUGGUUUAAUUCGAUGCAACGCGAAGAACCUUACCUGGGCUUGACAUCUACGGAACCUUCUGGAAACAGGAGGGUGCCUUCGGGAGCCGUAAGACAGGUGGUGCACGGUUGUCGUCAGCUCGUGUCGUGAGAUGUUGGGUUAAGUCCCGCAACGAGCGCAACCCUCGUGGUCUGUUGUUACAGGUCGUAAGAUGCUGAACCCUCAGGCCAGACUGCCGGUGACAAACCGGAGGAAGGUGGGGAUGACGUCAAAUCAUCACGCCCCUUAUGUCCAGGGCUACACACGUGUUACAAUGGGUAAGAGACAAUGGGUCGCUUGGCAGCGAUGUCUGGCAAAUCCCAGAAACUCUCCCUCAGUUCGGAUCGUAGUCUGCAACUCGACUACGUGAAGUCGGAAUCGCUAGUAAACGCAGAUCAGCACGCUGCGUUGAAUACGUUCCCGGGCCUUGUACACACCGCCCGUCACACCACGAAAGAAGGUUAUGCCCGAAGUCGGUGCCCUAACCCGUAAGGGAAGGAGCCGCCUAAGGUGGAACUUUUGAUUGGGGUGAAGUCGUAACAAGGUAACCAAGGG
rnacentral:rRNA from 1 species